UCGAACUUCUCCCAUCUCUGUUCUCUUCUUUCCCCCCGCUCUCUCACACACACUCGUCUCUGGGAAUCUAGUUGACCGCCUUCCGCUGUUCAAGGAGCCACAUGCGACACGCUACAGGGAAGGCCGACCACCAGAACCCCUUUCUCCCUGUUCUCGCCUACAGACGCGCCGUCCUCCGCCGCAGGUUGCUUAUCGAAGUCAUGCUCCUUCGCGAGAUUCAAGGAUUUUUUUGCCCACCUCCGUCUUGCAUUCAAGGAGCUACCUUCAUCUUGCAUUCCGGCCAUCUUCUACUCAGACUUGCGAAAGAUGGAUUGAGCACUAUCACAAUAAUGUGAACAGAGUGACAAGUUUCUCUUUUUGUAGAGGAAUGUGAGUUAUCAAUGACACAACAAAGAAUAAUGUUGGCGCCUAUCGGAGUGCCUGUGGUGAUCAUGAAGUCCGUUGCUCUGCUUCUUAUGGUUGGAGUUGGGUAUUUGUAUUAUGAGUUAUAUACGUAAAUUUGCAUAGAUCUGAGUGUCUAUAUUUGUGUUAUAUAUAUAUAUUGAAUAUUGUAAAAUUGUACAAAUUUAAGUUUGAUUUUUCACAUAUCUGAAGAUUGUAAAUUUAUUGAUAUAUAUUGGUGAUGUUAAAUAUAUUUUUUUAUUUGUGACUUUAGUAAUUUUGAUAUUGGUUCUAUUUUAUUUGGUA